AUGGCGGAGGUGAGCGCCGGGACGGGGGCGAUGGGCUCCCUCCUCGGCAAGCUUACCGCCUUGCUCAGCGACGAGUACAAUCUUCUCAACCGGGUCCGCAAGGAGAUCCAGUUCCUUGAGCGCGAGCUCAGCAGCAUGCGAGUCUUGCUGGAGAGGCUGGCAGACAUGGAGGAGAAACUCGAUGGCCUUGCAAAGGGCUGGAGAGAUAGAGUGCGCGACCUCAGCUACGACAUAGAAGACUGCAUCGACCGCUUCAUGGACCGCCUUGGAAGCGGAGAUGCCAAACCAAAGUUCAUGAAGAGGACGGUGCGCCGGCUCAAGACUCUGUGGGCGCGCCAUGACAUCGCGACCCAGAUCAAAGAGCUCAGAGCUCGCGUCAUGGAGGAAAGCGAGCGCCGUGACAGGUACAAGCUUGAUGAGAGUUACUACAGUGCAACGAAGACGGUGGAGAUAGACCCACGGAUAAUUGCGAUCCACGAGGAGGUCAAGGGCUUGGUGGCAAUGGACGGCCCAAUGAAGCACGUCAUUGCCUUGCUGAUGGAUGAGAGUACAGAGUUGAAAGUGGUGCCGAUUGUCGGAUCAGGAGGGUUGGGGAAGACAACCCUGGCCAUGGAGGUCUAUCGCAAGAUUGGAUCAGGAGGGGACUUCCAGUGCCAAGCUUGCGUGUCAGUGUCGCGCACACUUGAUCUGGUGAAGCUCCUGAAAGAUAUCUUGUCUCAGACCGAUAAAGAUGCGUACAAAGAAUGUCAGAGUUGGGAAAAGGAACAGUUAAUCCGUGAAAUCAAACAUAUCUUGACAGGAAAGAGGUACUUCAUUGUUAUUGAUGAUGUAUGGAAAGAACAAGAUUGGAAGUUGGUCAAGGCAGCAUUUCCUGACAAUAACAAUGGUAGUAGAAUAAUUGCUACUACACGCAUUGCCGGCGUAGCUAAUUUAUGUUGUUCCAUAUCCGAUGAGCAACCCUACCAAAUGGCACCUCUAGAUGAUGUUGAUUCUCGAAGAUUGUUCUUUCAGAGAAUUUUGUACUCAAAUGAUUCAUGUCCUUCUGAACUGGAAGAAGUUUCUACUAGGAUUUUAAAAAAAUGUGGAGGACUGCCACUGGCUAUAAUUACAUUUGCAAGUUUGCUUGCCAGUAAGACACAUAACAAGGAUGAAUGGGAGAGACUGCAAGAUUCCAUCGGUACUGGUUCUUCGUUUGAUAAUGAUGGGAACUUAAAAGGGAUGAAAGAUAUAUUGUUACAUAGUUACCUGGAUCUUCCCCACCACCUGAAGGCUUGUUUACUGUACUUGUGUAUAUAUCCAGAGGACUCCAUGAUAAAUAUUAAAGUGCUCAAAUGGAAAUGGAUAGCAGAAGGAUUCAUUGCUGCACAAUGGGGAAGUUUGGAUCAAGUAGCAGAGAACUGUUUUAAUGAGCUCGUUAAUAGAAAUAUGAUCCAGCCAGUGUAUGGUAAUUAUGACAGUUCGGUGAAAUAUUGUAGGGUCCAUGAUAUGGUGCUUGACCUUAUUAUAUCUUUAUCGGAUGAAGAGAAUUUUGCCACUGUCUUAAAUGGGCGUAUAUGCAAUUCUUUCCCAAAUAAGAUACGUCGUCUGUCCAUGCAAUCUAGUGGCAAAGAGCAUAAAGGUGCAGUUGGGGCAAUUAGAGAGACCAAGAUGCAUAUUCGCUCAUUGACUGUGUUUGAGCUGCAUAAGCCGAUAGUACCCCAUCUUGUGGACUUCCAUGCUUUGCGGGUGUUGGAUCUUGGAGAUUGUAUUUGGUUGGAAAACAAGCAUGUAAAAGACAUAGGAAGUUCACGUCAGCUAAGGUAUUUGCGAAUUGGCCAUUCUAUGAUUACUGAGCUUCCUUGUGAAAUUGGAAAGCUGCAGCACUUGGAGACUCUCGAUUUGCUAUACUGUAAUUCACUUCCAAGACUGCCAUCAACGGUGACGCAGUUGCGGAAAUUGGUGCGCCUAUUUGUCAGCGAUUACACACAAUUACAUGCAAGUGGGUUCCGGAGUCUGCAAGCCUUGGAGGAGUUAGGCUUCGUGGAAACUGACGACCCAGUGAGAUUUUCGGAGGAAGUAAAUGAGUCGGGCAAAUGCAACCUUCGCUCUCUUCGUACUGGUGGAGAGAUAGCCGAGCGUCUGUUCUGUAACUCAUGCUGCACAUACCCGUGCCUCCAAGUUCUUAAAAUUCACUCAGGUAUUGGAAUGGUUCCCAGGGGAAUGACCUCCCUCGAGAAUCUCAUGACACUACUCAUACAGGUCACGGAAUUUGAUAAUGAGGGUCUCCAAGUUCUCAUGGGCAUGCCUUCUCUUGCCCAUCUGGAUCUUGAGAUAAGAAGAGGGGCCAUUAAUGAAAAUCUGAUCAUCGGUAGUGAUGGAUUCAAACUGCUAAAGGUCUUCCGCUUCCGCUAUUCACCCUUGCGUCCUGUUGUUGAAGUGAAACCAACGGGUGGACUGCGGCUAACAUUUGCACCAGGUGCUAUGCAAGCACUCCAUUGUCUCCGUCUUGAAUUGAACCCAAUGUGGAUCGUGUCUGACUUUUUUGCAGACUUGGGUGUCGAGCAUCUUCCAGGCCUUGCACAGCUCGAGGUGAAAAUCAAUUGUUACGAAGCAGCUCCAGGCAGGGUGAAGGCUCUGGAGUGUUCCAUUGAAAAAGCAACCAACUUGCUCCCCAAGUGCAGAAUCCAUGUCAGCAGAACCUUUGAAAAUUACAUGUUUAAGGAUGACAAGGAGUGGGAAGAUGUCGUCGCAAAAGAAUCUCUGGUGAGGAAAGGAGACGAGAAGAAUGAGAGAGUGACCACCAAGAACUAG
rnacentral:rRNA from 1 species